rnacentral:rRNA from 1 species
CCCAGACUCCUACGGGAGGCAGCAGUGGGGAAUAUUGCACAAUGGGGGAAACCCUGAUGCAGCGACGCCGCGUGAGUGAAGAAGUAUUUCGGUAUGUAAAGCUCUAUCAGCAGGGAAGAAAAUGACGGUACCUGAUUAAGAAGCCCCGGCUAACUACGUGCCAGCAGCCGCGGUAAUACGUAGGGGGCAAGCGUUAUCCGGAUUUAUUGGGUUUAAAGGGUGCGCAGGCGGCACGGCAAGCCGGCGGUCAAAUCGCGGGGCUCAACCUCGCUCCGCCGUUGAAACUGGCGUUCUUGAGUGGGCGAGAAGUAUGCGGAAUGCGUGGUGUAGCGGUGAAAUGCAUAGAUAUCACGCAGAACUCCGAUUGCGAAGGCAGCAUACCGGCGCCCAACUGACGCUGAAGCACGAAAGCGUGGGUAUCGAACAGGAUUAGAUACCCCCGUAC